GGCCGGUGUGCUUAAUGGUUAGAGCGUUGGCCCGCUCACUAAAGGGUUGUGGGUUCAAUUCCCAGCUCCGGUCA
rnacentral:tRNA from 1 species